AAAAAUCAAGACGUCAGCAGCUUCCACACACAAACAACAUCAAUCAUAUUUUGGGUGAAAGCAACAGCCACUCACCACUGCAAGCGGCUGCUACCACUAUCAAAACUUGGAGCUACAAAGGACGACUGUGUGCUCAAGAACAAAGAGACUUGUAGACAGUUCACAUGGAAAUACUCCAAUUUAAGUCCAAUACAAGCCUAAUUUACACCAGGGGGCGGGCACAUCAGCCCUUAACAAUUUUUCUUGGUGACAGUUUCCAUCGUCCUUCUAGGUUUCCCUAGCUUUUCAAAAUUUUCUCUCUAUACAAAGAAAGAAUAGACCAUCAUACUCCCCCACUGUUUCUGCAGCCAGCUAGAAUCACUUGUAGCUAAGCAGAACUGAGUUGAUGACAUGCAUAAGCAAGCGAAGAUUGCUGUUAUCCAAUGGACUGGUGGUGGGGAGCGACCGGUGGUGAGCCAAUUUGGCGUAGACUUGCUCGAAGAUAGGCCUCACAUGUAUGGCGAUGACUUGGUCUGUCGGAUUGAUCGCCAUGGCAACAUCUGUCAUCCACUGAAUUUUCCGGGAUGUCUCGGUGCCAAUAUCAACUGCUAGCUGCUGGAGUAGGGCUAGGAGGACUCCCUGGUUCAGAGGGACUGGGGCCAUUGUACAUAAUCCACGCAAAUCAACCUGUACAAGAGGGUAGAGCUAUAACAAAUCCAACACAGCUAUUCCAGUAUGAGCAAGUUAAUGAACAAGGGUCAUAUAGCUCAGCAUUAGCUGACCAAUCAAGGACGACGAUACCUGAGAGCAUAACCAAGACACAAUUGACACGUCACUUCUUUGAAGUGCUACUGUAAAAGCCUCGUCAAAUUUGUGUUCAGCUAGCAGUCUUCCCAGCUCCUUCAUCGGGUCUAAUGGUGCCUCGACCUGAAAAAUUGCAGGGCACAUGAAAAUUAUAUAGAUGUCUUGAUGUCACCAAUCAUCAUAUUAUUUACCUAAGACAAGGAAAAUAAGAUUGAAGACUCAUCCCUCAAUACCCAAUAGGCAUACCCAUACUACAUCAAACGGCUUAGACAGGUCGCCAAUCAGAAAAAAUGUGUAAGUUUAAAAGGUUUCAGAAUUCAGCACCUCUGGCGGGCCAGUGAUAGGACCAUUGUUGGGCUGCAGAACAUUUGUAUUUUGCGCAUUGGCAUUGCCAGAUGUAACCAGCGCCAAAAUUUUGCGAUUCCCAUCAAGUAACUCUGAUGUGAGAUUCUGGGUGAUUGAGGAUGCAGAAGUGAUAGUUUCCUGAAAAGUAAUUAUAUAAACAUUUUUGUUAUUAUACAAUUGGAAAGGAAAAAUGCAUACUUUUAACUUGCUAUUUCCAGCCAUUCCAAAUAACAAAUAUCCUACCUUUAAAGUAAGCACCAAUGGAGUAUGUGCUGCCUCAACCUGCUGCUGAAUAGCAACAGCAUGCUCAGACAUUCCUUUCUGGAAUGCACUGUCUACUUGCUCAAACAUUGUCUUGCAUGAUUGUUCAAAUGCUGGAACAAGCAAUGAUUCAAAGCUAGUGCGUAAAACAUCCUGCAUACAUCCAUUUAAAACAAAUUAGUACAUCUAGCAAAGCUAAAACAAAUUGAUCUUACAGUAAAUUUCAUAUAUAGAUGAACAACUUAAGCAAUCUACUGAGAAACAAAGGCACGACAAACAAAUCAGAUGCAACAUGUAACAUGCCACAUAAGAGCUGCUAGAAUACCAUCUAUAAGAACAAACUACAAGAUGAUACAUACCUGAAGAGUCUGUUUUACAGAUGUAUGAAAUUGCAUUUGGAUUUGCCUAGCAAGUGUAGCUUCAAGUUUUGCAGUAACAGAUUUGUCCAGCUGAUUCACCACCUUGUCACCCACCGCUUUCUAAAAGCAAACAGUCAAACAAGAGCAAGGGUGGCAAAAGCAAGAACAACAAAUGCAACAGGAAGUUAGGCACAACCUGAACUGCAUCAGCAACUAUAGAAGUUAAGGACUUCUCAAUAAUAGGUGUCAUUGCCCGUGCAACAACAGGUCCAAGUGAAGAAACUUCUUUCUUUACUAACUUAUCCAACAUAGCAGGAAGGUCCUUGUUUAUUGAGCUUGUGAUGAGAGUGGUCAUUUGCUGCAUUCGCUCCCUUUCAGCCUUCUCACGUUUUGUGUUCUCCUCCAGGAAACGAGCCCACAAGGCAUCAAUGCUAGCCUUGAUAGAUUUUUCCAUUGUACGGCCUAGUGAUGUUUCAAUUCUUUUGCCUUCCUUCGCAAUGGGAGCAAUAACGAUAGUACCUAGCUGCUUCUGCAUAUCCUUCUGCAUGGCUAUUAGCUGCAAGACACGCGACCACACAGUAAAUAAACUGAAGCUCAUACUCAUAUAACGCUGAUCUAAAAGCCAUAGUGUUAUAACCUAGAAUUCUCACCAUCUAAUAGCACUAGUCAAGUGACAAAUCAAAACAAACCAAGUAUAUCUUUUCCUAAAAAAAGAGUAGAUAUUUGCUGAUUUUACAAGCAGGCACAAUUGUUAAGUUGGCCAUAGAUGGCUACAUCAUGUCCAACUCAGGGUACUGGACAAGUGGGCCAAUACUAGAUGGGAUACCACGGUUGUCACUCCAUGGAUCUUCAUUCCAAUUAGGCCAGUGCUUUUUUCCCAGUGAAACCCAGAAUGAAAUGACAAUUUUACCUGUACAGAUUUUCUCAUGCAUCUCAACAAAAUAUUUAAGAAUGUGUGUUUACAUGCAGGACAUGAGAAACAAGAAAACUACCAGAGUCUAUAAGGAAUUUGUAUCCGUAACACCUAGUUUGGAUGGACCAGGAAUUGAAUGGGAUUCCAACCUCAGCCUAUCCUACUCAGUACUCACAUUGAUUUUAAACUUGAAACUGCGCCAAGUUUAUGCCAGGUUGGCAGGCUGCAGGGUCACAUUGGUUCCCACUUCCCAGCCCAAUCUAAACUAAGCAUAAAGAAACUGUCUUCCUAAAGGACAACCCUGUGAUUUUCUAGUAGUAGCAAGUCUAAUAACCAGUCAAUAGCCAAAUUACUCUUGAAUUCAGGCCAAAUAUUAUCGACAUGUAAAACUAGAGCUUAUAUGCAAAUUGCUGUUGACGUUAGUACAGUACAAUAGUACAUCAAAGAAGCAUUAGUUUCAUAUUGCAGGCCGGAUGGCAAAGAGACCACGAUGGUCGUAUUGCAAUAGGAGGCCAAGACAGUCGUAUUGCAAAGUCCAAACAGCAAGUAGAACUCCAGAAUACUACAAGCAACUCCAUUCGACUAAAGUUACUUCAGAGUACAUAGAUAAGAGAAUAGUUUAAUGCAAUGCUCACCUGUUGCAGCAUAUCGGCAACUUCUGAAGAGGAUUGAAUAGGAGGGUAUGCACUGCUGACAGGUUCAUGUGAAGACUCAGUUGAGUUAAAUGCGCUUGUAGAAGGUGAUGACUGACCAGAUGCUUGAGGAUGAAAAACCUUGUCCUUUGUAUAUGAAGAUGAUUGCUCCCUAGACACAGAGGAGUCACUUAUGCCAGGUUUUUCUACGGUUUUGUUUGAAACAUUUUCUCCAGCAGCACCAGUAUGGUCAGGGACCAGUCUAUCAGAUGGUGACCGUGAUUCUUCCACGCUAUACUUAUCAGUUGUUACUGAACGCUCACUGAUCAUUUCAACAGUUUGCUCCAACGAAUUUUGAUCUUUCUCUGAGUUCUCACAGACAACUUGAGCUUCCUUGACAGCUUCAAGUUCCAAAUCAUGAUUAGAUUUACUCUCAUCGACAUGUUUUGCUUCCACUUCUGCAAUCCGAGGGCUACUAAUAGAGUCAUCCUGGAUUUUUGCGCCAUCAGAUUUAGAGAUCUGAUUGCUUUCAGCAGACAGAGCACCUGAUAUAAUUUCAGAUGGAGUUAUGAGAUGAGUGGCAUUUCCUCCUACCUUAAACAUCAUGCGAGGAUUUGGGAGCAUCUGAACAUCACUGUGGCUGUCUCUUAAUUCAUCCUUUCCAAAAUUGUCCUUUGGCAUGGGUGUAUCUUGCCUAGCAAGGGCAACUGGUUUUGGCAUGGGUGUAUCUUGCCUAGCGAGGGCAACUGGUUUUGGCAUGGGUGUAUCUUGCCUAGUCAAGGCAACUGGCUCAGUGAUUCGGCUUGUCGAAUAAUCAAAAGCUGAUUGGUCUUUGUCACGGUUGCCUACUGAUGGUCCUGAUCCAGUAAGAUCAGUGUUUGAUGCAAGAGGGGCAGACUGAAGAUGCGCAGAACCAUCACCUUCUGUGUAUGUAAGUGGUGGAGCUGAUGGCUUAAGAUCAAACUCUGCAGAUAAUGAGAUAAAUCAUAAGCAAAAGAAAACUCUUAAUUAACUGAAGCAAUUGAAUGAGACAUGGUAAUUGUUUUACCUGCAGUCUGAUCAAAAGUUGAUUGUUUACUCGAAGUACCGACGGUAUAAGAAUCUGUAAAGCUAGUUCCCGUGGAUGACUCUGCUCCUACCACUUCCAGAGGUGUAUCAUAAACACGUGAAAUAGCAGGGUCUCUUCCAAAUGAGGUAGUGUCAGAUGUAGGAGGCGAACAAAGUGAUAACUCCAGCCCAUACUGCUGGAUGGCCAUUGUUUGGACACAAUAGACUUGAACUACCUGCUCACCAUCAGGUUGGCUUUCAUGUGUGCCAGUAAGACUUAAAAUAGGCAUCGCGACUGUAAAAUCUGCGAUAUAAUCCAAGCGGGUAGAAGCGGGGUCUGAGCCAUACUCAACAUGCACAGCGUAAAUAGCAUUCUUCUUCGCAUUCGCAAGUAAGAUAAUGCUUGCUUGAGGCAGCACUGCGACUUGGUUGAAAAAUGCCUCCUCGACUUUAGGUUCCAGAGAACUAACAAGUUCCAGAGUCUGCGUGCAAUUCCAAGUCUCAGAGUCGCUUGGCAACAACCAACCUUCUUCAUUAGUAGAAGCCCAAAUUUUAAUUUCUCGGUUUAGAGGACCCUGCAUUAAGAACCAGAAUAGCAUGUAAGACAUCUGUUAACAUAUUUGCACAACAUGCAGUCAAUUAUUCUGUUUCUCAGAAGAUGAUAAGAGCAGAAUCACAUUAACUGAUCAUUUCUAAUAGAAAUAGAAUAUCUACAAAAUGAGUCUACCAUUUGAACAUUAUAUAAUGUAGCAUUUCACAGACUAUCCAAACCACGAGCAGAGUCUUUGCCUCUUUGUCCCUUGGCAAUUGUAGGCAAAUACAGCUCCGUUUAGAUUUUACUAAAACUCAAGUGGUACAGGCACCUUAUAGUUCAUUCCUAAUUAAUAUAUGUCAUUGUGUUUUGGUAUAUGUAACGUUGUAAAACUGAGCAAGAUGCCCCAACAAAAGCGUGUGCUUCAAAAAGUCAAGUAAAACUAAGCAAUCAUUGGGACAAAUUAAGUAAUCUGUGCAAGAGUGCAUACAGCAGUGAUGAGAUUUAUAUGAUGCGGGCGCUCAGGUGCUGUAAGAAAGGCAACUGAGUAAACAGCUUGACCAUCAUGUGGCUUUAGAAUCGAUAGAGGUGCUAACUUGCGAUCGUCCCAAAUCUUUACCUGCAAAAUAAACCAAUAUACAUUACAAAUGUGCUUAGUAAGGAUGAUCAGCACUUCUCUAAAUAAAAUAAUGUCUAACAGGGAAAAGAGAGGCCAACUAAGUCGAAAAAUUGCUGGCAGCCUCAUUAGUGCUUAACCUAGCAGCUGAUGUUAGUUUUCAACCGACUAUUAGCAGUAACCAGACAGCACCUGAUAACCAUCAAUCGAGGUUACGCGAACAUAGCAGGUGAAACGUACUUCACAGUUUUUCUAUGCACUGCAAAUAAUUUUAUAUGGUAUAUAUUGCUGAUUACAACAGCGUAAAUGCAGUCAAAACCAUCAAAUCAAGGGGGAGACAGUCCAAACCACAUAUCAUUCGAUGAACUAUUUCCACGAGACAUAUGGUUUGCUUUCCUUUCUUAAGAGAAAGGUGCUUUGAAACGACAAGAGAACAAAGUAUUAGGAUACUAUUAAAAAAAACUCUGCAACCAGAAUAAAAAUAAUUAACUCUGCAAGCCUAUCGAUGGAAAAUUCAGUCAUAUUUUAAUCAAUGGUUUUUUAUACAAUUUAUUCAGUGAAAUGAAAGAGGAAAUAAGCUUCCAUAUUGCUCAGAAGAACUAGAAUCUGAUGGCAUAUUCAAGAAUACCAUUCAGAAAAUACUUCUCCCAAUUCCGCAGAAUUCAAAUUUUCACAAUAAAUAGGAGAGUAUUUGAUACAAACCAUGCCAUCAUUUGAUCCUGAAGCCAGUCGGGUAGUCAUCCACUGAGAUAUGGACAAAUCUGUCACAUCACCAUCAUGCCUACCAACCAAGCGUACACCAUCAAUAAGCUCAUCAAGAUGACAUUUGAUAGGUUCUUCAACACUAAAGUCUCUUCCCCUUCCAACUUUAGUUGUGUCUAUUCUUAAGACACAGUUUCUGAUUCCAACAAACAGAAGUUCCUGUAGGAUAAACAUGCAACUCCAUUAGUGAGUUGAGAUGCAAAAUGAACUUGGGAGGUGGCAAAUGUUAUGUAAAUGAUGCCUUACUUGCUUAUGAGAGUGCCAACAUAUCCUUGGAUGGUAAGCUACAGCAUCACCUACAAUUUGUAUGGCAACUUCUAUCUUUCCUGUAAUUUGUGGUUUAUUUUCUGCAUCGGGCCCCUCAUCAAUCCUCCACACGUAUAUCCGUCCAUCCACACUUGCGCUGCAGCAGAAGAGAGCAACUUAGCAUACAUGACCCACACAAUUAUAAAGAAUAAGGAAAAGGAUUAGCUAUUUUUAUAUAGUAUAAAUAACCUCAGACAAUGUUAAAUAUGUGAUCUCCAAAGGAGAGUGAAGAUAACUUUUUGUUGUGCUGCCAACUGGGUGAACAAAUUCAGAUUAUGUUAUUGUUCCAUACACAGUACCUUGCUAAACGAUGGACGUCCUCAGCGAAGAAAGCCAUGUCCGUGACCCUCUAAAGAAGAAAGAACACAAGCCAUAAGAAACAAAUGCACUUUCAUAUACUUAGUAAAAUUCGAACCCACGUGAAAAUGAGGAGUGCAUAACCAAUUACCAUCUAAAGAUAUUGACAAAUAUUGACAUCAGAAAUCCUCAGUCACUUCCUUGAACACUUAAAUUGCGGGACAAGUUUACAUACAAUAUUUUAUAAAUUAAAAUUGCUGAAUUUGAGCACGAGCAAACAACCACACAGUAACGGCCUUAUGGGCAGUGAUUAUUCCAUGAGUGUCAUCCACAUAGAAUGUUCAAAUUCACUGAAAUAAGCUAAUUCAGCCCUUCUUAACGGUCUAGCCAACAUAAAUUCAGAAUUAACAUAUCUAUUAAUACAUAAUUAAUUCAUCAGCCUUGUCAUGACAUCGAUACAAAUAAUAAUGUAUCAGAGGUUGUUUUCAAAAUAACAUGCAACUGAAUGUGAUGAUAACAAAAUAUCUGAAAAUGGUUUCACCCGAAAAUGUAUAAGGUAUUUUAUUCUAGCGUAUGGGGAAUGCAGUAUCUACACUUUGAACUUUUCAGAUCCUUUCCCUUAGCUAAAUACAUCAUUCAUCAUUAACACCCACUACCCACUACCCAGCGAUUCAAUUUGUGGAUGAGCAUUUCUACAUAGAACUAACCAACAAUUUAUCUCUCUGGACUAAAAUAUAUACCUGUGUAUGGCCACGGAGCAGUGACCGAAGCGCGGUGUUGAUGUUUAGCACACGGAUGUUCCCCAGCUUGAGCCCAUAGACGAUGUACGUCCGGUUUACAGCGAUCUGCCUGCCCAGCACAAGACCUGGGUCUGACGUGUACUUGGUGAUCGGCGUCACCUCCAGCUGUGGCGGCUGCGCCUCCCCAGGCAGCCUCGAGUCGACGUUGUGCACCGCCUUGUCCCCGCCACCCAGAAGCCGACCUCUCGGCACCUUGCUGCUGGUGCUGCUGAGCAUCCUCGCCGGCGGCGCGGAUGGCAUCGCCGGGAGCGGCGACGGCUGCGCGGCGGCGAACUCCGACGACGGCGGGGGCAUAGAUACCGCGGACUCGAGGUGGCCCGACCCGGAGCUGCCGAGCAGCUGCAUGAGGCGAGCGCCGGGGUUGGCGCCCCCGGCGGCCAUGGGGUUAGCGCCCGGGUUGGGGUUCGCGUUCGGGUUGGGCAUGGGGAAGGGGAUGACCGGGCGGGGCAUGGGGGGCUGGGGAUCCUGCGGGUAGUGGAGGUAGGGGCGGNNNNNNNNNNNNNNNNNNNNNNNNNNNNNNNNNNNNNNNNNNNNNNNNNNNNNNNNNNNNNNNNNNNNNNNNNNNNNNNNNNNNNNNNNNNNNNNNNNNNNNNNNNNNNNNNNNNNNNNNNNNNNNNNNNNNNNNNNNNNNNNNNNNNNNNNNNNNNNNNNNNNNNNNNNNNNNNNNNNNNNNNNNNNNNNNNNNNNNNNNNNNNNNNNNNNNNNNNNNNNNNNNNNNNNNNNNNNNNNNNNNNNNNNNNNNNNNNNNNNNNNNNNNNNNNNNNNNNNNNNNNNNNNNNNNNNNNNNNNNNNNNNNNNNNNNNGCGGGGUUGGGAGGCGGCCUGAAGAGCAUGGCCAUCUCGAAGGGGGGAUUGGGGUUGCCGGGGUUCGGAUUAGGGUUUCCGGCUGGAGACGCCAUUGGAGGCGGCACUGGAGUAGAUCUGGAGAAGUGGGGGUGAGAGAGAGGGAGGAUGGGUCGGAGGUGCGGCGGAGCAGAAGGCGAGAAGUGCAGGUCGGGGUGGUGGCGGUGAUUGUUUUCUCUCGCUUUUGCGCCCUCGCUGUUUCGCUUUAUUUUGACGAGGAUCUUUGAGAACUCAAACGUUGCAGUGCCGUUAUUUUCUUCUUCUGUUUGACUCUACUUCUAAAAAUGCUCCCUCCAUCAAAAUAUAGGGCAUCUUAUAACGAAAAUUGCUUUUGGAGCUCGGCCUCCAUGAAGGCCUCCAAAUUCAAAUUUUAAAAUUUAUCAAAAUUCAUAUUUUAACGUUUCAAAAAAUUCUGAAAAAAAUACAAAUAUGCAUGAAGACAUAACACAUUUGUGUGUAAAUUUUCAAGGCAAAAUAAGUUGAAAUUAGGGCUGUCAAAAAAGCAAAUCUAGGAUUUUUUUAACACAUGAUACUAUUCAUCCUCCUAGGCCAUGAAUUUAUAUUUUUCUGUACAGACAACAUUUCAAGGUAUUUCGUCCUAAAAAUUUACACGCAUACACAUAAUAUCCUCGACCAAUCCGACCUACGACAGCGGACUCACAACGGAUUGCGGUGGUCACGGAAAGGUCUUCGUGAGGGCUCCUCUCUCCACAUCCAAUGGCUCACUUCGAAGAGAGAUGCAAACUUUGGAUAAUGACUUGACGCAGAGGGAUGGUGGUGCAGCAGCGGCGGUACACAACGCAUACCUGCUGAGAUCGAGGAAAAAUGGUGGCGGCGACACAUAAGUGGUGUUGAUGAUGGUGCUACUCGAGCACAUGGUCUUGAGUUCCGGGGUGAAAGCCUAGGUCUGACACAUGUUGCUAGACCUGGCAAUGACGACGUUGUAUGUCGUUACCUUGUUGAAGGCAUUGCUCGGAUAUGCUCAGACCGGUUCUUCAGGGUGAAAACCUAGAUUCUGACCAUGGGUGGUUAGAUCCAGCGACGUCGAUGUUUGAGGCGUCGCUCCCUUCCUGAAGGCGUUGCUGUUGAAGAACCCCGUUCGUGUGGUGUCAUGAGAUGAUUGGUGCGGAUAUGGUCAUUGUUGUAGUUUAUCGAUCGCGUGUCUGUUACUUUGGAUUUUUUUAUCGCCUACGUUUAGCUCUGGUCUUACAUGACUUUGCUAUUUGUCGGCGUGUUUUGUGUGUGUGAGUUAGUGUUGGUUGUGUGCAUCCUAGCUAUGCAGAGACCGGGUGUGUACUCAUUAUGUUUAUAUUCUCUUGAUGCUCCAUUUUGAGUCAAUAAAAUCCAUCCUUUAUCGAAAACAUAAUAUUCUUGUUUACUUGCACAAUUUUUCAGCUUUUUUUAAACAGGCAAGUUUGAAUUUUGAUUUUUCAAAAUUUAAGCUCUCCAAUGAGCUCGGUCACCAAAAGGACGUUAUAACCCUAAAAAGAACACAGGGCGGCUUAGUAUUUUGCAUUUUCCCCCUGUUGUGCAAUAUUUAGAAAAUCGAUGCAUUGUAAACCAACAGAUGUAGAAGCAUUUGUGGCUAGCAGCUCCCUGAGCCAAUGCAUGAAGUUUAAACGCCCUUCUCGCUCAUUUUGGCAUGCACUAUAUUUUGGACUUUGAAGAACAUUGGUUGUUUCCAUGCACAUACAUUGCACAUCAGUAUUCACAUAUGUGUAGCAACCAGAUCACAAGUAUCUAUAAGGUGGCAUAUUGUUUGUAUGCGUAUGUGUGUAAUUACCCCGUUGGCAGACCACACACAUUUGAGUGUCUGAUGCGACGCAUACAUAAAGACUGUGACAUUGCUAACUGGAAAAAACAUUAUUAGCCCGACCAAAAAGAAAGUGAUCAACAUAGUAACAAUAGACUUAUACUUUUUAUAUGCACUGAGGUCUGACGUAAAACAGAAUUGGGGAUGAUAAAUACAACGGUAAGGAUCCAUGUCUCGAUGUCGCACAUGCAUCAAUACCUUAACUACCAUAGUAGUUUCAUGGAGCACGCUCCAUGUAUAAAUUGCGCUAGGGCUGGCAUCACUCAUCUGAUUAAAAAUCUAUCGGGUGUGUUAUGCAGCACGACAAAAGGCUAAAGAAAUUAGUCAAGUCUCAAAUGUGGAAGAUACAAAACAAAACAUUGUUAUAAAAAUACAUAAAAAAUCAUCACUCUCGCGUAUACAACAUAAGUUAAUGUAUAACCAGGAGUCCAUGUAUAAUCGGAAAUCUAAUUUGGAUCCUAGGUGCACGUGCUCCUGCAGGCAAAAAAUAAUUUUUGAAAUAUCAAGAAAAUCCCAACAAAAAUUUGAUGUGUUCAUAGUCACAUUCAAAUGCUACCUACAAAUUUUUAGGUAAAAAAGUUAAGCAUUUGGCCCGUGAAAAAAAAUUAAGCACCAAAUGUUAUACCUAAUUUUAUUUUUUCACUGAUGAAACAUUGUUGCCCUGUUUCACAUCAAAUUUAUCAAGCAUGCUUGCGACACUAACACAAGUAUCUAUAAAAAAUAUUCAGUUUUUUUAAAAUUUCUGUUCAUGUGCGAACAAAUCCACCCGGGAGCCAAGACUCCCUCCGCACAUAUUUUUUUUACAAGGCUAUAUGAGAGUAUAUGGUGCCUAAAUCACAUGUUCGCUCUGGUCCUUACUUCCGGGGCAGUGAAAUAUUAGGUUUCUACGAGGUGCGAAACGCGAACACCCUUCUCAUUUCCCCAAGUACAUACCCUCGGAAUCUUUUAUGCUUUCCAUGCGAGAGAGAAAAUAAACAUUUCACGAGUAGGUGGAUUUGCUUCGAGAGGUCAAUGCGGUGCUAGUUUAAUUAUUCCAAGAUCUGGUCCGACGGUGCAGAUCGAGGCUACGCCUGCACAGACGAACUGGGGCCGCACGUUUGGCAUGGGCUCGGCGCCGGCAACGGCACGGCCUGCCGCAGGAGGGCGCAUGCAGGCGUGCAGCGGCGCUCGAGGGCGAACGGUACGGCUGCACAUGCACUCCUCCGGGCGGCAUGUAGCCCCCAAGCGCAAGCGGCACUGCCACAUGAUGAAGCGACCGAAAUCACUGUUAUGACCUUUUUAGUAAUCUUUGUCACAAAGUGGACUUAAUAUGAAAGUAUUUCACGAUCUAACCCUUUUAACAACGCCACUGUCCGUGACGUUUCCUCUUCAUAUAAAAACGUCGAGGUAACUCGCGUUUCAGCUCCACAUUCAAACGUCGAGCUAACUCGCGUUUUCGCUCCACAUGUAAACGCCAUGAUAGCUGGCGUUGCUACCCAGGCGGAAACGCCAUGAGCUUUGGCGUUUCUAGCUGAAACUCUCGAGUGCAUGCAAAUAGUACUCUACUAAUAGUACUCUAAUCAUUAGUAGGCUUUCUUUGCAUGCUAGCUUAGGAGACCGUGGAGUACUACAUUUAUUUUAAGUGCUCACGGACCCUUACAUGCAUGCAUCGAAGCAUGGCAUGUAGCCGUCUUGUCUACUCGUUGCGUCAGUGCAUGUAGCCUGCAGUACUAGCUCAUGGUUAGCUGCAUUUUCUUUAACCACAGGCCGGCUAGCUCUUAUACUACACUGUACUACUCGUACCAUAUAAGACAGUAGAUAUUCUUGCAUGAGGUGAUUUAGCUUUGCUGAGCUGCAUGGGCUAUGAUCCUAGUUCUUGGAUAGGAGCAGGUAGGUGUCAUUUAUUUGGGAUAGAAACGUAUGCAUGCAUAGGACUAAACUCUGCAAGCUACCAGCUAGAAACGCCAAAGCUCAUGGUGUUUCCGCCUGGGCAGCAACGCCAGCUACCAUGGCGUUUACAUGUGGAGCAAAAACGUGAGCUAGCUCGGAGUUUGAAUGUGGAGCUGAAACGCGAGCUAUCUUGGCGUUUCUAUAUGGAGAAGAAACACCACGGACUGUGGCGUUGCUAAAAGGGUCAGAUCAUAAAAUAUUUUCAUGUCGAGUUCAUUUUGUGGCAAAGAUUGCUAAAGAGGUCAGAACAGUGAUUUUGGCCUGAUGAAGCAUCGCUUCUCCGAGUACAUAAAAAAUACUAACAAAAACAUUCAGGACUAGCCCUUGAAGACGUAUUUUUAUAGAAGAAAUCUCUAAGCACCAUGGAUCACUCCGUACUCCAGCGUUGGUGGGCUAGCUAGCUCCUUGCUGGUCUAGCCAACAGGGCGACAUCCUGUUAUCUCCUCAAAUACAUAGACUAUUGCAUAAUUGCCUGAUAGAAAAAUGCCUUCAGUCGAAUCAGUUUGGACCGUUGAUCCAAGCGGCUCGACUUCUUCCUCCUCCUCCUCGAGUACGGAACCUUUCAUCUUCUUCCUCCGGCCUUCCAUCGAGCCAUGAUUUUUUCGCCCCAUCACCCCUUCCUAUCCUCUUGCCUCGCCUCGAGUAAGGCCAUGUCUGAGCCCCCACCGGCAAGGCCGCCACUAGCCGUGGUGUCCCCAUCUCGUCCUCGGGUUCUGUCAAUCCGAUUAGUGGUCACAUUUAAAAAGGUCCCCCACUUAUAGCGGACAAUCUAUUGACAUGCCUGGUCGAAAUCUCCUCUUCGGGGCUUCGUGUGAGAAUCAGCUGAACUGGCAAAAAAUUCAGGCGGGUGAAGAAUAGCAAACAUGGAAAAGUAACAUGGCGAUGAACAAACUUUAGUCAACUAAUAAUGUGUAGACCAUUUCACCCUGAAAGUGUGUGUGUGUGUGUGUGUGUGUGUGUGUGUUUUGCGAAAAGAGGGUGCCUGAUUUUAGCAUAGCCUAUUAUCCAGGUCUUGUGGAUUAGACAUGGACAGAGGCGGCGAUGAUAAUACUUGAUUGGAUGAUAAUCCAAAGAGUCGACCGCUUUGCUUUUUUUAGUGGAGUAUGAUCUUUUUUUCUGAAAGUGUGAUCUUACUUUUAUAAGAAGAAUUUGACAUGUAAAUAUAUGUACGCAAAUGCUCCCUUCAUUUUCAAAUAUAGGUCUUUUUAAAGAUUUCAACAAGUGACUGCAUACGAAAUAGAAUGAGUAAAUCUAUACUUUUUUCUUGAAUAUGCACGAGUGUGCAUAUUAUAUAUUAUAGAAGAAAGGCAAAGAGUGCCUCCACCAUAGUUUCAAGGUUCAUAUUACAACACUCCUAAUCCUCACUACUAGCCCACCGUUCAAGCCGAAGAAAGAAGGGGUCCAUGUCUCUCUUAAACUUGCCGGCAAUAGACCACAUUCUUCCUAGUAAAACACCUAACGAAGGUGAUGCCCCAUCAAACACAAUAGCAUUGCGAUGCUUCCACAACUCCCACAAAGUCAGCAAGAAAACCGUAUGAAGAUCCUUCUUGUGCCAGCCGUUAGUCCCAUGCUUCUCCGCAAGCCAGAUGGCUAAGGAAUCGUGUGCAGUCGGAGUCCAGUCCAGCAUGCCCAGCGCCUCACAUACUGCAGCCCACGCUGACCUGGCAAAGACGCACGUCAGUAGCACAUGAUCAAUCGUAUGUUGUAGUUCAUACAUUAAAAUAUAUUUACAUACAUUUGUAUGUUGUAGUUCAUUUGAAAUACCUAAAAGACUUAUAUUUAGAAAGGAAGGGAGUAUAUUAUCUCUCCUCUCGCACACACUAAUUAGUUUAUAUCUUGCCGACUCUCCACUCACCCACCCACCAAUUAUUCAAGAGAUAAACUCCUUUUUCUCUAUCUCCUUUUGCACUUACAAAGAUGAUAAGAUAGAGCGGCGCUCAUGAAGCUGCUGAAGUUAACGAACGAUACGUCAAACUUUUUAUGUCAAAAGAUUGACGCACAAGUCAUCGUCCAAUCGUCCACCUUUUGUAAUCGAACGACGCUUUCAGCGGCCCAAUGGUGAUCCAGGCUGAUGUGCCUAGUUCGCUAUUCAACGUUGAUGAAAAAAGAUUAGGCGUCAGCAGCGUCGUAUGGACGGGAAGAAAAGCGAGUUUUUGCUAUAGGAGUUGUCUCGUCUCUCCGUGGAUAGGAACCGCGAUGUUUCACCGGUGAAAGGGACAGGCGCUCGACUAUUCCAUCGCAACUGGUUCAGCCUCUUUGUAAAGUCUGUACUACAUAAUUCAUAGCCUGACUUAACAAAUCCGGCCCUUUGAAUGCGGUGAGUCCCUUGUAGGAGUUGUCGCACAUCUAUAUACCUUAAAUAUGGAGUCUCAAAUUCAUGCAACCCAUGCACGAUAAUCAUGCGAUAUAAAUUGUUUAAAUUUAAUGGUUCGAAAUAAAGCAAAGGAAAUUAUUGUUCAACAAUUUGGACAUGCCCAAAUGAAAUUAAUGUCCGAGCGUGACGGAUGCCUCGCUUGCUGGUCGGAUCAGUGGCCGGACGCCGUUCAUGCCGCCUGCUUCGAGGCCAUCCUUGCCUCCUGCUCCGCCUGCAUCUGGACUGCAUGCUCCGCUGCUGCCGCAGCCGCCCUCGCUGCCUCGUACUCCGUACGUUCGUUGAUCUCCUUCUUCUCCGCAAGCCACUUCUUUACAUGCUCAUCCAAAAGGGUUUCGUCCAUCGACAUGAUCUUCACAUCCUAUGCUUCCCGUGCGAGUUGCAACAUCUCCUUCUCAAUGUCAAUCUCUUCAAAUGUCUUGGCCUUCUUGAGCUCCCAUUUGAUCGCCGCCUCGUGCUUGUCCAACUCGAUCUUCUCUCUCUCAAUUUCAAACUUUUUCUUCGUCUUUUUCCAGUCCCAAUCCAUCCUCUCCUUUUGCGCAUCCAACAUAAACGUGUACCUCUCCUCUUUCUUGUUCUCCCUCGCUGGAAAAUGCCUUCCAUGUGGAGGACAUUUCUGUAGCCGCGACGUCACGGGAGGCCCUUAUCUUCUCCCACUUGUUUCUCAUGACUUGCCGGUUAUUCUUUGGCACUGUGGCUCUUCCAUUCUCGACGACAAUAUCGUCCUCUUCAUCGUCCAACCCAAUUGAUUGGUGGGACCUUGAUCCAUCAUUCCUUUUCUUGUCUGCCUUGUGAUCGGCCACAAGUUGUGUCCACUUUGGCAUUCCUUUCAAUAUGAUCCAACAAUGGCUAAAAGCAAACGACUUCUUCUCCGUUUUGUGAUACAAAGUGUCUGCUACCACCGUCUAACAAACAACAUAUGUAUGAGCACGAGAAUGCAAACACAAGAAGCAUAUGCAAAUGAUGACAAGAUGAACCAAAUGAGCUUACGUGAGUUGCGACUCCCAUCCCACUUUGAGGGUGUUUGGUCACUUGUGAGUAGUAGUCAACGUACUUGUUCACCUCCCUUUGAAUGACCCCCCAUCGAUGUUGGAGAGGUGCCACAUUGCGGUUGGUCAUGAUAGGAUGUGGCUCCACUUAUUCCUUUUGUUCGUGAUACUUGAUGUCUACUACGCAACUUUUAUUUCUUGUAGACUCUGUUGGGCCUCCAAGCGCGGAGUUUUGUAGGACAGCAGCAAAAUUCCCUUAAGUGGAUGACGUAAGAUUUAUUAAUCUGUGGGAGGUGUAGAAUGAAGAUGUUCUCUCUCAAACAACCAUGCAAUCAAAUACAAGAAUUUUUUUGUGUCCCCAACACACACAAUACAAUGGUAAAUUGUAUAGGUGCACUAGUUCGACGAAGAGAUGGUGAUACAAGUGUAGUAUGGAUAGUAGAUAUAGGUUUUUGUAAUCUAAAAAUAUAUAAAAAAAGCAAGGUGGCAAGUGAUAAAACAGAGCACAAACGGUAUUGCAAUGCUUGAAAACAAUGCCUAGGGUUCAUACUUUCACUAGUGCAAUCUCUUAACAGUGCUAACAUAAUUGAAUCAUAUAACAAUCCCUCAACGUGCGACAAAGAAUCACUUGAAAGUUUUUAUCAGAGAACGUAGGAUGAAAACGUGUAUCAACCCCUAUGCAUAGAUAUCCAGUGUGACAGAAAUCCGCAAGUUGAAUACAAAAAUAUACAUCAAGUAACUCAAUAGAAUACCUCAUUAUCAUCACGAGUAUCCACAUGCAAGACAUACAUCAAGUGUUCUUAAAUCCAAAAUAUUCAAUCCAACAUAACGAAACCUCAAAGAGUAAGACUCAAUUCAUCACAACAAAAUAAAGAGGGGAAAACACCAUAUAAUUUGACUAUAUUAACAAAGUGUAAGUGCAUCAAGUGCCCCCUUAGUGGUUUUGGAGUAUUGAAGACAAAUAUGUUGAGGAACUAAUGUGUUUGUGAGUAUACACAGGAGAAAGAGUCCCUGAAGAUUUGGUUUAACACAUGGAAGACGGCCCAUAAAAAUGGAUUUCUUCAAGUGAACAAUUUGGUGAUAAAAUUGGCACGACCUUUCCAGAAAUUGUGUGAAGACUGGAAGCUUGAAGACUUUUGUUUUCAUAGUUUCUUUCUUCUUAUUUGAGUCAUAGGAAAAACCGUAUUAAAGGGGGUCUAGGUGAAUCAUAGUUCACAUUUCCAAAUGAUGCUCAAACAUAUACAUACACAAGCUGCUUCGAGUGAAGUCUUCGGAAAUCUCCAGAACAGUUGAAGCAUUUGCUAGCGACAGUGAUGGAGUUCAUCUGGUCGUUGACGAAUUUGGUCACGCUGAGGAGUUAGGAUUUCACCAGUGUGAUCUACCUAAAAGUGAGGAAAUUGAGUGCCCCGACGAAUUUGAGAGUUCAAAUUCUGACCAUUGUUGCGCCGCGGGCCAGCUGUCGAGUGGAUCCUUAUCCUGAAAACAGUCGAAUCAGAGAAGGCCAUUUAUGACAAUUCAUGUCGGGUUGCCCCCUGACUAUAAAUAGCCGCCCUCACAACCACUUGUUGGUUGGAUGCUCCGAGAGAACUUGACACUUGUCAUUUGAGAGCAACCCAUCCUCUGACGACUUUGAGAGAAUUCUAAGUGAGCAAAGUGUUGGAAAUAUGCCCUAGAGGCAAUAAUAAAAUGGUUAUUAUUAUAUUUCCUUGUUCAUGAUAAUUGUCUAUUGUUUAUGCUAUAAUUGUAUUAACCGGAAACCGUAAUACAUGUGUGAAUACAUAGACCACAACAUGUCCCUAGUAAGCCUCUAGUUGACUAGCUCGUUGAUCAAUAGAUGGUUAUGGUUUCCUAACCAUGGACAUUGGAUGUCGUUGAUAAUGGGAUCACAUCAUUAGGAGAAUGAUGUGAUUGACAAGACCCAAUCCUAAGCAUAGCACAAGAUCGUGGAGUUCGUUUGCUAGAGCUUUUCUAAUGUCAAGUAUCAUUUCCUUAGAACAAUGAGAUUGUGCAACUCCCGGUUACCGUAGGAAUGCUUUGGGUGUAUCAAACGUCACAACGUAACUGGGUGGCUAGAAAGGUGCACUACAGGUAUCUCUGAAAGUGUCUGUUGGGUUGGCACGAAUCGAGACUGGGAUUCGUCACUUCGUAUGAUGGAGAGGUAUCUCUAGGCCCACUUGGUAAUGCAUCAUCAUAAUGAGCUCAAUGUGAUUAAGGAGUUAGCCACGGGAUCAUGCGUUACGGAACGAGUAAAGAGACUUGCCGAUAACGAGAUUGAACGAGGUAUGGGGAUACCGACGAUCGAAUAUCGGGCAAGUAACAUACCGAUGGACAAAGGGAAUUGUAUACGGGGUUGAUUGAAUCCCCAACAUCGUGGUUCAUCCGAUGAGAUCAUCAUGGAACAUGUGGGAGACAACAUGGGUAUCCAGAUCCCACUGUUGGUUAUUGGUCAGAGAGAUGUCUCGGUCAUGUCUGCAUGGUUCCCGAACCCGUAGGGUCUAUACACUUAAGAUUCAGUGACGCUAGAGUUGUUAUGGGAAAUUGUAUGUGGUUAUCGAAGGUUGUUCGGAGUCCCGGAUGAUAUCCCGGAUGUCACGAGGAGUUCCGGAAUGGUCCAGAGGUGAAGAUUUAUAUAUGGAAGUCCAGUUUUCAGCCGGAAUGGUUUCGGGGGUUAUUGGUAUUGUACUGGGACCACCGAAAGGUGUCCGGGGGUCCACAGGGUGGGGCCACCUGCCUCGGAGGACUUAAUGGGCUGAAUAUGGGAGCGAAUCAGCCCCUAGUGGGCUGGUGCGCCCCCAAGGGCCCAAGGCACCUAGGGUUGGAAACCCUAGGGGGAGGGGGCGCCUCCCACCUGCUUGGGGGCAAGUUUCCCCUCCUGGCCGCCCUCCCCCUCUAGAUGCAUCUAGGGGGGGGGGGGCGGCCCCCUCUUCCCUUACCCCUAUAAAUAGUGGGGGGUGGGAGGGCAGCCGCACCCCUUCCCCUGGUGCAGCCCUCCCCCUCCAACACCACCUCCUCCUCCUUAGUGCUUGGCGAAGCCCCGCCGGAGAACCGCAAGCUCCACCACCACGCUGUCGUGCUGCCGGAGCUCUCCCUCAACUUCUCCUCUCCCCUUGCUGGAUAAAGAAGGAGGAUACGUCCCCCGGGUUGUACGUGUGUUGAACGCGGAGGCGCCGUCCGUUCGACGCUUGGAUCAAAUCUUCCACGAUUUGAAUCACCGCGAGUACGACUCCAUCAACCGCAUUCUUGUGACGCUUCCACUUAGCGAUCUUCAAGGGUAUGAAGAUUGACUCCCUCUCUCUCGUUGCUAGCAUCUCCUAGAUUGAUCUUGGUGACACAUAGGAAAAUUUUGAAUUAUUACUAUGUUCCCCAUUAGUGGCAUCAUGAGAUAGGUCUAUGUGUAUGCACGAGUAGAACACAAAGUAGUUGUGGGCGAUGAUUUGGUCAAUUUGCUUACUGUUACUAGUCUUAUCUUGAUUCAGCGGCAUUGUGGGAUGAAGCGACCUGGACCGACCUUACACGUAUGCUUACGUGAGACAGGUUCCACCGACUGACAUGCACUUGAUGCAUAAGGUGGCUAGCGGGUGUCUGUCUUGUUGGAAAUAUGCCCUAGAGGCAAUAAUAAAAUGAUUAUUAUAUUUCCUUGUUCAUGAUAAUUGUCUAUUAUUCAUGCUAUAAUUGUAUUAUCUGGAAAUCGUAAUACAUGUGUGAAUACAUAGACCACAAUGUGUCCCUAGUGAGCCUCUAGUUGACUAGCUCGUUGAUCAACAGAUAGUCAUGGUUUCCUGGCUAUGGACAUGGGGAUGUCAUUGAUAACGGGAUCACAUCAUUAGGAGAAUGAUGUGAUGGACAAGACCCAAACCUAAGCAUAGCACAAAGAUCGUGUAGUUCGUUUGCUGUAGCUUUCCUGAAUGUCAAGUAUCAUUUCCUUAGACCAUGAGAUUGUGCAACUCCCGGAUACCGUAGGAGUGCCUUGGGUGUGCCAAACGUCACAACGUAACUGGGUGACUAUAAAGGUACAUUACAGGUAUCUCCGAAAGUGUCUGUUGGGUUGGCACGAAUUGAGACUGGGAUUUGUCACUCCGUAUGACGGAGAGGUAUCUCUGGGCCCACUCGGUAAUGCAUCAUCAUAAUGAGCUCAAUGUGAUCAAGUGGUUGAUCACGGGAUCAUGCAUUACGGUACGAGUAAAGUGACUUGCCGGUAACGAGACUGAACAAGGUGUUGGGAUACCGACGAUCGAGUCUCGGGCAAGUAACGUACCGAUUGACAAAGGGAAUUGAAUACGGGAUUGAUUAAGUCCUCGACAUCAUGGUUCAUCCGAUGAGAUCAUCGAGGAGCAUGUGGGAGCCAACAUGGGUAUCCAGAUUCCGCUGUUGGUUAUUGACCGAAGAGUCAUCUCGGUCACGUCUGCUUGUCUCCCGAACCCGUAGGGUCUACACACUCAAGGUUCGGUGACGCUAGGGUUGUAGAGAUAUGAGUAUGCAGUAAUUCGAAAGUUGUUUGGAGUCCCGGAUGAGAUCCUGGACGUCACGAGGAGUUCCGGAAUGGUCCGGAGGUGAAGAAUUAUAUAUAGGAAGUGUAGUUUCGGCCAUCGGGAAAGAUUCGGGGUCACCGGUAUUGUACCGGGACCACCGGAUGGGUCCCGGGGGUCCACCGGGUGGGGCCACCCAUCCCGGAGGGCGCCAUGGGCUGAAGUGGGGAGGGGAACCAGCCCAUAGUGGGCUGGUGCGCCCCCCCUUUGGGCCCCCCUGUGCCUAGGGUUGGAAACCCUAGGGUGGGGGGCGCCUCCACUUGCCUUGGGGGGCACUCCACCCCCCUUGGCCGCCGCCCCCUUGGGAGAUCCCAUCUCAAGGGCCGGUGCCCCCCAAGGUGCCUAUAUAAAGGAGGGGAGGAGGGAGGGCAGCCGCACCUCAAGUCUUGGCGCCUCCCUCUCCCCUGCUACACCUCUCCCUCUCGUAGAAGCUCGGCGGAGCCCUGCUGCGAUCACUGUUGCAUCCACCACCACGCCGUCGUGCUGCUGGAUCUUCAUCAACCUUUGCUUCCCCCUUGCUGGAUCAAGAAGGAGGAGACGUCAUCCGCUCCGUACGUGUGUUGAACGCGAAGGUGCCGUCCGUUCGGCACUUGGUCAUUGGUGAUUUGGAUCACGGCGAGUACGACUCCAUCAUCCCCGUUCUCUGAACGCUUCUGCUCGUGAUCUACAAGGGUAUGUAGACGCACUCCUCUCUCCCUCGUUGCUAGAUGACUCCAUAGAUUGAUCUUGGUGAUGUGUAGAAAAUUUUAAAAUUCUGCUACGUUCCCCAACAGUGGCAUCAUGAGCUAGGUCUAUGCAUAGUUACUAUGCACGAGUAGAACACAAAGUAGUUGUGGGCGUCGAUAUUGUCAAUUUGCUUGCCGUUACUAGUCUUAUCUUCAUUCGGCGCCAUCGUGGGAUGAAGCGGCCCGGACCAACCUUACACGUACGCUUACGUGAGACCGGUUCCACCGACUGACAUGCACUAGUUGCAUAAGGUGGCUGGCGGGUGUCUGUCUCUCCCACUUUAGUCGGAUCGGAUUCGAUGAACAGGGUCCUUAUGAAGGGUAAAUAGAAAUUGGCAAUUCACGUUGUGGUUUUGGCGUAGGUAAGAAACGUUCUUGCUAGAAACCUAUAGCAGCCACGUAAAAACUUGCAACAACAAUUAGAGGAUGUCUAACUUGUUUUUGCAGCAAGUGUUUUGUGAUGUGAUAUGGCCAAAGGUUGUGAUGAAUGAUGAAUGAUAUAUGUGAUGUAUGAGAUUGAUCAUGUUCUUGUAAUAGGAAUCACGACUUGCAUGUCGAUGAGUAUGACAACCGGCAGGAGCCAUAGGAGUUGUCUUUAUUUUUGUAUGACCUGCGUGUCAUUGAGAAACGCCAUGUAAAUUACUUUACUUUAUUGCUAAACGUGUUAGCCAUAGUAGUAGAAGUAAUAGUUGGCGAGCAACUUCAUGGAGACACGAUGAUGGAGAUCAUGAUGAUGGAGAUCAUGGUGUCAUGCCGGUGACAAGAUGAUCAUGGAGCCCCAAGAUGGAGAUCAAAGGAGCUAUAUGAUAUUGGCCAUAUCAUGUCACUAUUAUUUGAUUGCAUGUGAUGUUUAUCACAUUUUUGCAUCUUGUUUACUUAGAACGACGGUAGUAAAUAAGAUGAUCCCUCAUAAUAAUUUCAAGAAAGUGUUCCCCCUAACUGUGCGCCGUUGCGACAGUUCGUUGUUUCGAAGCACCACGUGAUGAUCGGGUGUGAUAGAUUCCAACGUUCACAUACAACGGGUGUAAGACAGAUUUACACACGCAAUACACUUAGGUUGACUUGACGAGCCUAGCAUGUACAGACAUGGCCUCGGAACACAGAAGACCGAAAGGUCGAACAUGAGUCGUAUAGAAGAUACGAUCAACAUGAAGAUGUUCACCGAUGUUGACUAGUCCGUCUCACGUGAUGAUCGGACACGGCCUAGUCAACUCGGAUCAUGCUAUACUUAGAUGACUGGAGGGAUGUCUAUCUAAGUGGGAGUUCAUUGAAUAAUUUGAUUAGAUGAACUUAAUUAUCAUGAACUUAGUCUAAAAUCUUUACAAUAUGUCUUGUAGAUCAAAUGGCCAACGUUGUCCUCAACUUCAACGCGUUCCUAGAGAAAACCAAGCUGAAAGACGAUGGCAGCAACUAUACGGACUGGGUCCGAAACCUGAGGAUCAUCCUCAUAGCUGCCAAGAAAGAUUAUGUCCUAGAAGCACCGCUAGGUGACGCACCCGUCCCACAGAACCAAGACGUUAUGAACGCUUGGCAGACACGUGCUGAUGAUUACUCCCUCGUUCAGAGCGGCAUGCUUUACAGCUUAGAACCGGGGCUCCAAAAGCGUUUUGAGAGACACGGAGCAUAUGAGAUGUUCGAAGAGCUGAAAAUGGUUUUUCAAGCUCAUGCCCGGGUCGAGAGAUAUGAAGUCUCCGACAAGUUCUUCAGCUGUAAGAUGGAGGAAAAUAGUUCUGUCAGUGAGCACAUACUCAAAAUGUCUGGGUUGCAUAACCGCUUGACUCAGCUAGGAGUUAAUCUCCUGGAUGACGCGGUCAUUGACAGAAUCCUUCAGUCGCUUCCACCAAGCUACAAGAGCUUUAUGAUGAACUUCAAUAUGCAGGGGAUGGAAAAGACCAUUCCUGAAGUAUUUGCAAUGCUGAAAUCAGCAGAGGUAGAAGUCAAAAAGGAACAUCAAGUGUUGUUGGUGAAUAAAACCACUAAGUUCAAGAAAGGCAAGGGUAAGAAGAACUUCAAGAAGGACGGCAAGGGAGUUGCCGCACCCGGUAAGCAAGCUGCCGGGAAGAAGCCAAAGUAUGGACCCAAGCCCGAGACUGAGUGCUUUUAUUACAAGGGAAGUGGUCACUGGAAGCGGAACUGCCCCAAAUACUUAGCGGACAAGAAGGCCGGCAUCACAAAAGGUAUAUGUGAUAUACAUGUAAUUGAUGUGUACCUUACCAGUACUCGUAGUAGCUCCUGGGUAUUUGAUACCGGUGCCGUUGCUCACAUUUGUAACUCAAAACAGGAGCUGCGGAAUAAGCGGAGACUGGCGAAGGACGAGGUGACGAUGCGCGUUGGGAAUGGUCCCAAGGUCGAUGUGAUCGCCGUCGGCACACUACCUCUACAUUUACCUACGGGAUUAGUUUUAAACCUCAAUAAUUGUUAUUUAGUGCCAGCUUUGAGCAUGAACAUUGUAUCAGGAUCUCGUUUAAUUUGAGAUGGCUACUCAUUUAAAUCCGAGAAUAAUGGUUAUUCUAUUUAUAUGAGAGAUAUGUUUUAUGGUCAUGCUCUGAUGGUGAAUGGUUUAUUCUUAAUGAAUCUCGAGCGUAAUGCUACACAUAUUCAUAGUGUGAAUACCAAAAGAUGUAAGGUUGAUAAUGAUAGUCCCACAUACUUGUGGCACUGCCGCCUUGGUCACAUAGGUGUCAAACGCAUGAAGAAGCUCCAUGCAGAUGGACUUCUAGAAUCUCUUGAUUACGAAUCAUUUGACACGUGCGAACCAUGCCUCAUGGGUAAGAUGACCAAGACUUCGUUCUCAGGAACAAUGGAGCGAGCAACCAACUUAUUGGAAAUCAUACAUAUAGAUGUGUGCGGUCCAAUGAGUGUUGAGGCUCGCGGUGGCUAUCAUUAUGUUCUCACCCUCACUGAUGACUUGAGUAGAUAUGGGUAUGUCUACUUAAUGAAACACAAGUCUGAGACCUUUGAAAAGUUCAAGGAAUUUCAGAGUGAGGUUGAGAAUCAACGUGACAGGAAAAUCAAGUUCUUGCGAUCAGAUCGUGGGGGAGAAUACUUGAGUCACGAAUUUGUCACACACUUAAGAAAAUGUGGAAUAGUUUCACAACUCACGCCGCUUGGAACACCUCAGCGUAAUUGUGUGGCCAAACGUCGUAAUCACACUCUAUUGGAUAUGGUGCAAUCUAUGAUGUCUCUUACCGAUUUACCGCUGUCAUUUUGGGGCUAUGCUUUAGAGACAGCCGCAUUCACUUUAAAUAGGGCUCCGUCGAAAUCCGUUGAGACGACACCGUAUGAAUUAUGGUUUGGGAAGAAACCUAAGAUGUCGUUUCUAAAAGUUUGGGGAUGCGAUGCUUAUGUCAAGAAACUUCAACCUGAAAAGCUCGAACCCAAGUCGGAAAAAUGCGUCUUCAUAGGAUACCCUAAAGAAACUAUUGGGUAUACCUUCUACCUCAGAUCCAAAGGCAAGAUCUUUGUUGCCAAGAAUGGAUCCUUUCUAGAGAAAGGGUUUCUCUCGAAAGAAGUAAGUGGGAGGAAAGUAGAACUUGAUGAAGUAUUACCUCUUGAACCGGAAAGUGGCGCAACACAGGGAAAUGUUCCUAAGGUGCCUGCACCGACUAGAGAGGAAGUUAAUGCUGAUGAUCAUGAAACGUCAGAUCAAGUUGCUACUGAACUUUGUAGGUCCACAAGGACACGUUCCGCACCAGAGUGGUACAGUAACCCUAUCUUGGAAAUCAUGUUGUUAGACAACGGUGAACCUUCGAACUAUGAAGAAGCAAUGGCAGGCCCGGAUUCCGACAAAUGGCUGGAAGCCAU
rnacentral:lncRNA from 1 species